UACGGAGGGGGCUAGCGUUGUUCGGAAUUACUGGGCGUAAAGCGCACGUAGGCGGCUUUGUAAGUUAGAGGUGAAAGCCCGGGGCUCAACUCCGGAAUUGCCUUUAAGACUGCAUCGCUAGAAUUGUGGAGAGGUAAGUGGAAUUCCGAGUGUAGAGGUGAAAUUCGUAGAUAUUCGCAAGAACACCAGUGGCGAAGGCGGCUCACUGGUCCGGUUCUGACGCUGAGGCGCGAAAGCGUGGGGAGCAAACAGG
rnacentral:rRNA from 1 species